CCAGUACAUUGUUGUAACAGUAUAACCAGUGUUUGCGCGCUCAGCAGACUUAGGCAACAGCAACAGUGUUUGUCUAACAGUAACAGUGUUUGGGCUAGCAGUAGCGUAGGCUACACAGUAACAGUGUUUGGGCUAACAGUAGCCUAGGUACACAUUAACAGUGGAACAAACAGAAGUCAUAGACUGCUUGAUUCUGUCAGACCCUCCGUUGGUGCUGUAGGCUCACCGUUAUAGAAGUAGGGAAGACAGCAUACCAUUGUCAGGGCUGACCAGAGGGCUAAUGCUCUGUAGUAAAACACCUGUUCAUGUUAAAAUGCAACCCAUUUUUUGAACAUUAGCUUGAAGAUAAAACAAAUUACUUUUGUCCUCAGAGCUGUAGGCUACAUUU
rnacentral:lncRNA from 1 species